UCUUGUCUUGCUUGCAUCUUGUGAUAUGUAGCUCUUUUGAAGUUGGUCCAAUGGAGUUAGUUGUACCCCUUGUGUUUCUCUAGCAUGCUGUAAAGUUUCAUGCCAUUUGGAGUCCUUUAGCUUAGGUUUUUGCUGCUGUCAAUAUGCCUUCAGGCUGAAAACUGCACUUUCAUGAGGUGUUAUUUUCGCUAAGUCUGAAAUAGUGUGUGGGAAGCCGUUUUGUGACUUCUUUCCCUAGUGUUCCUUGCUGCCAUGCUAGUUGUUGUUAGUUGUUUGUACUAGUGCAUUUUGCCCUCUUCCAUGCCAUGCCUUGCUUGAGCAUAUCGGAGUUGUGUAUCCGUAGUUGUGAGGCGUAAGACAUGCUAUGUGGCUGAUUUUGGCAGAUUGUAGUGAUUUCUUGUUUUGCUUGUAGUUUUCGAACCGUAGCUCCGUUUUGAUCGUGUCCUACAUGAAACUUGCUUAUAAUCUUGUGUAGUUUCUUUUUCUCUUGCUGGUUGUAUGUUUUGAAGUGCUCGUGACCGCCGUUGCACACAUAUUGCAUUCAUGCCAUCAUAUCUUGCGGUGCUUGUAACUUUUGAACCGUAGCUCCGUUGGAGAUGUUCUUUAUGUGUAGAUUGCUUGCCUUGACGCGUAGAAUCACGU
rnacentral:lncRNA from 1 species